CCCGCCCACGGUCGCCGCCGCACCCUCUUGUCGGUAGCGCCGGGAGAGGAUAAGGGCGCCACGCCCUGACUCCUCGAUCCCAUCCCCCCACUCGCUCACCACUCCCCUCGCUCUGUCCGCCUCUCCCCUCCUCCAGAUCCGCCUCUCGCCGACGCGCCCAACACCGUUCGCCUCACUCCGCCGCGGCCACCGGACACCUCCCGCCCCGCUGUCGUGUCCGCGAAGGCCUUCUCCAUUCGCUACAUCCUCCACGCCGACGCAAUGGAGCCGAAGGCCGCCUACGACGCUUCCCCGAGCCGUCGUCCUCCUCGGUACCUCGCCGCCGUCUCCGUCGACGCCGGUCGCCUCUGCUCCCCCGUUCACUCGACGGGCCUCCUUGUGCCUGCUCGUUGGUGGAUCCCUGGAGCCAGGAGCCACCGCCGACGGAUACUACUACAUGGAGACCGCCGACGACCAGGAGUAGUUAGGAGGUCCCAGGCAGGAGACCUUGCCUCUUCGAUCGUUGUUGUUUUGUGUUUGCCUUCUUAAGGCAGUCUUGUUUAACUUAUGUAUGUAUUCAGAUAUUGUUGCUUCCACUGACUCUUGUGUAUCAAGCUAUGUAUUCGAGCCCUCGAGGCCCCUAGCUUGUAAUAUAAAGCUUGUAUUAUUUUA